GAAUUUUCCGAGGGAAUGGAAUCCUCGGAAAAUUCCGAGGGAGUUUUGUCCCUCGGAAUUUUCCGAGGAACUCCAUUCCCUCGGAAUAUUCCGAGGGAAAAUAUGUUCCUCGGAAUUUUCCGAGGAACAUAUGUUCCUCGGAAUUUUCCGAUAAACAUUCCGAGGAAUGUUUUGUCGAAACUUCCGAGGAUUUGACCAUCGGAAUUCCAUCGGUUUAUUCCGAGGAACCAUCCGACGAACAUAUGUUUCUCGGAGUUUCCUCGGAAUUUUGUUUCCUCGGAAUUCCGUCGGAAAUUUCCGACGGAAUUCCGAGGAAGUAUGAAUUUCCGAGGAGAUAUUUCCGAGGACUUUUUUCGUCGGUAUGUCGUCGGAAUAGCGUUAUUCCGACGACAUACCGACGAUUUUUUCCCUCAGUAUCCCGAUGUUUUCUUGUAGUGUAUUAUCUUGCAAAAUAUAUUUUUGCAUUGAUGUAUUAAUACUUUGAAAUAAAAUUGUUUAUCGUACAAAGGAAAUCGUACAAUAUUUUUAAAUUUCAGAGUGUUCAUUUAUUCAAAUAGCUAAGUAGGAGUAAUAUAUAAUAAUAUGUUUGCGCUAUUGUAUGAACAAAAAAAGUUAGGAGCACCAUUUAUCAUAAAAUCAUGGAUCGUAAAAUUAUGGAUCUUAAAAAAUAAAUUGAUGUAAAUGGGAAAAAAAAAUAUAUGAGCAUUAUUUAUCAUGAAAUUAUGGACCUUAAAAUAAAUGGAUGAAAAUAGAUAAAUCAAAUAAUUAUUUCUUUUUUUUUUAUUUUUGCUAAAACACGUUAACCACAUGUGUCUUCUCUAAAUAAUUAAUCGUUAUCUGUGUUUUAAUGUUGUGUGUGUGGCCUUGGACUUGGUUUUUCAUGUAAGAAGUUUGUCCAAGUUUUGGGGUUUUAAUAAUCAGUUCUUGAUGUUUUAAAUGUUUGGUUUAUAUAUCGUGGGAUUAAAUGGCGACUAUUAUUUGGUGGACCCACUUCCUUUUUUUUUUUUCCCAUCAAUAAGUUUUUAUAUUAAAGGAAUCGGGCCAAGCCCAGAAAGCAUAUUACAAAAAAGCCCACUAAAAAACCAACUCGGGUUAAAAUUCGUUAUCCAAAUGGGCCCAUUACAUCCGGCCCAACUUGGAGAAACCCUAAAGUCAUCCGGCCCAUUUAAGAAAAGCAUAUUACUUGGUGGACCCACUUCCUUUUAAUGUUUUUUUUUUCUUUCAUUCUUAUUUCUUAAAUAUCUUCCACGAAAGACUUUUUUUUUUUCUUAAAUAACUUUGUAGACAUUUCUAAGAUCCAUUCCAUUUUAAGGCCUCAUCUUCUUCCUAUUGCUAGAACAGGUAAACAUUAAUUUCCUAUUUCCUCUCCGCUAAAAAAAAUGGUACAUCUAACCUAUACUAAAAAGCCAAAUAUAAACCCCAUUUAGCCUGUCCACGUAGGACUAUAAAUUCUAGCCAAUCAUAUAGCUUCAUCUCUCCACAUCACCACCGAAUAUUGGAUCAUCGAAUUGGACAUUGUUUGUGGGCCAAUCAUAUAUUGUUUUCGGCCUAUCUGUAAGAAGCUUCGGUUGCGUCUUUACACGUUCCUUUCUAAUUCUUCGAAACGUUAGAGGUUAUUAAUUCAUCGCUUUAACAAACCUCUUAAUACCAUCAAUCCGCGUCGAGCAUGAUCUGAGAUUGAUGCAUCUUAUCCCUCUGCAAGUUGGUCUCUAUGCACCUAUAAAAGUGGCUUCUCGCUGCAACACAAGAAACUGCGAUGAACGGAGAGUCCUCAUCGGUUCGAAUCAGCCCUAAGCACGAAGGAGUCGUGGAGAUCUCUGAUUCUGUACCUCUCAUUCCUCCUCUCGGGAUCUCGGUCAUCAUGAUACGUGGCUAUGUGAGGAGAUGGAGUUGAGAUGAGGAUGAUAGCUCUCACUUCACCUUGAAAUAAUUGAUCGACCCGUUCAAGACGACUGACUACUCGGUUACUCUCGGUUGACAAGGAGGCGUUUACUCACUGAAAAAUCUCUUCCGAAGUGUUUUCCUUUCCAAGAGUCUGCUCAAUUGAUUGAUUUUUCUUUUUUCACCUUCUCUGCAAAACUUUUUUGGUAGCCAAGAGUCACUUUUUAUAAACUUCAGGCUUCUGAACUCUCAUUCUAAAAAUGGAUUUUUGUGUGGUUCUCUCAUUCUAUGAUCUUUUGUUCGUCUGAUAUGUUCGAUUUCAAAAGCAAGUUGUUAUCUAAUUAAAGCAUUGUCUUUAUAGGAACAGAAGCGAUGAUGACAAGAGAAGAAAGCUGAGUCCUCUGGAAAGAAACAACACAAUAAGUAAUUUAGAAGAACAAAGGGAGCUGAAGUUGCAAGACAUGUGGACUGUCCGUUGCAUUAGCUUUUUUAUUUUAUUUCCAAGUUCAACGAAGUCAGAGCACUUCAAGUCUUUUAUAGAUUAUGUUUUGUUGCUCUAUAUUUUCUAAAUUUGCACCGCUCAGACAUUUGCAAGUUAAUAAAUUUGCACUUCCACCCAGACUGGCCUUAUCCAGUUUACCUUACCGGCUUACACUCACAACGCCUUAUAGUUUUUAAUUUAAUUUCAAAUCACUACAAAGUCAUAUGACUUCAAAUCGUCAGCACAUCUAUUUCUUUAGCUCUAUUUGUUAAGAAAUAAGCACCACACUUCACUUCAAAUCGUCUGCACAUCGAAAGCAUUAUUAUCUAAAUGAAUAAUUUAUUCCUGCGACACCACACUUCCUGAUACCAUCAUUAACAUCUCAAACAAGUUACAUAUGGUUCAUUAAAUCUACAUAAUAACAACAUUCCACGAGAUAUAUUGAAAACAAAACAUUAGGAGUGCAAGAAUGACACAUAACAUUAAGCCAAAAAAAAAA